GUUACGACCCGGCUCGGCCAGGGGAAAGGGAAGUAACAUUAAAGAAACCUAGGUGGUAAGGUUUAACAGUUUAGAGGUUUUAUUGUUUGGGUUCAACAAAAAUAAAGGGGGUAAAAAUUAACAAUAGUCAAAAUGUAGAGACUAACAAAAGGGUACUAAACAAAACAAAACCCCAAAACAAUCAAUUGUAAAUCAAAGAACUUAACCAAACAAAAAUAGACUUUCAGAACAGGGUACACAAAACAAACUACAAAUCUCUAACAGAGAAUCAAAGAUCCCACACAGGGACAAAGUGAGUGACACAAGCUAUCCAAGCUAACAAAGGUUGUCAGAGCUAACAAAGGUUAUCAGAGCUAUCAAAACAAGUUUACAGCAGUCAAACCCCUAACAAAGUGGCAAGCUGUCUAAACAAAGAAACAGCCCGCGCCUUCUCCCAGGAUGUCCUUGGUUCUUAAAGGGAGGCCUCAACAGUGAUUGGUGGAGCCGGCAAUUGAUGACCCAAUCACGGUAGGCCUCAGGAUGUAGCACAGGACAAGCAGGGCAGCACCCACUUCCAGGUGGAGUCAAUCUGAUUAGCCACUGAAAAACAACAAACACAGAAAAAGGCCACUGGCCGUAACACCUCCCCCCUUAAAAUCCCAAACCAAAGUGUUUGGAAGGAACGUUCCCAACCGAAGGUAACUAUAUAAGCUACACUCUAGAUAAAGCAUCUGCUAAGAAGUUGUCUGCACCUUUCUUAUGUUUGAUUUCAAGAUGGUAAUCCUGUACCAGUAAAGCCCACCGCAUGAGUCUCUGGUUGUGGUUGUACAUGCGAGAAAGGAAAACAAGGGGGUUGUGGUCGGUGUACACUAUGAUUGGCACAGGACUAGACCCUAGGUAAACCUCAAAGUGUUGAAGUGCAAGUAGCAAGGCCAGAGUUUCUUUCUCAAUGAUGGGGUAAUUGAGUUGGCUGGGUGUAAAUUUACGGGAAAAAUAACAGACGGGAUGAUCAGCUCCGUCCCCACCUUCCUGUAACAGUACAGCACCAGCUCCAACAGCACUAGCAUCCACUUCAAGUUUGAAAACCUUUGACAUUCAAAAUGUAGAGACUAACAAAAGGGUACUAAACAAAACAAAACCCCAAAACAAUCAAUUGUAAAUCAAAGAACUUAACCAAACAAAAAUAGACUUUCAGAACAGGGUACACAAAACAAACUACAAAUCUCUAACAGAGAAUCAAAGAUCCCACACAGGGACAAAGUGAGUGACACAAGCUAUCCAAGCUAACAAAGGUUGUCAGAGCUAACAAAGGUUAUCAGAGCUAUCAAAACAAGUUUACAGCAGUCAAACCCCUAACAAAGUGGCAAGCUGUCUAAACAAAGAAACAGCCCGCGCCUUCUCCCAGGAUGUCCUUGGUUCUUAAAGGGAGGCCUCAACAGUGAUUGGUGGAGCCGGCAAUUGAUGACCCAAUCACGGUAGGCCUCAGGAUGUAGCACAGGACAAGCAGGGCAGCACCCACUUCCAGGUGGAGUCAAUCUGAUUAGCCACUGAAAAACAACAAACACAGAAA